UAAUGGCUUUUUCCAGCAGAAGUUGCUUCUCCUUGUCAUCCUACAUAAACAAAGGGAACAAAACAAACUGAGACUAAACUGAAAUACAGAAGAGAAGAUAAUAAAAAGCAUUCCCCUUUUGGCCACCCAACAAACCUCUAACUUAUUCAUCUUCCUUUUUUGAGGUUUGCACAAUUUUUGUUUCUUAUUUGAUUUGACUUUUCCAUUUUCC
rnacentral:lncRNA from 1 species